rnacentral:rRNA from 1 species
GCAGUCGUGGGGUAGGGUAGCAAUACCUGAGACCGGCGCACGGGUGCGUAACGCGUAUGCAAUCUACCUUUUACAGAGGGAUAGCCCAGAGAAAUUUGGAUUAAUACCUCAUAGUAUGUAUGAGUGGCAUCACUUAUAUAUUAAAGUCACAACGGUAAAAGAUGAGCAUGCGUCCCAUUAGCUAGUUGGUAAGGUAACGGCUUACCAAGGCGACGAUGGGUAGGGGUCCUGAGAGGGAGAUCCCCCACACUGGUACUGAGACACGGACCAGACUCCUACGGGAGGCAGCAGUGAGGAAUAUUGGACAAUGGGCGCAAGCCUGAUCCAGCCAUGCCGCGUGCAGGAAGACGGUCCUAUGGAUUGUAAACUGCUUUUGUACGGGAAGAAACAGCAGUUCGUGAACUGCCUUGACGGUACCGUAAGAAUAAGGAUCGGCUAACUCCGUGCCAGCAGCCGCGGUAAUACGGAGGAUCCAAGCGUUAUCCGGAAUCAUUGGGUUUAAAGGGUCCGUAGGCGGUUUGGUAAGUCAGUGGUGAAAGCCCAUCGCUCAACGGUGGAACGGCCAUUGAUACUGCCAGACUUGAAUUAUUAGGAAGUAACUAGAAUAUGUAGUGUAGCGGUGAAAUGCUUAGAGAUUACAUGGAAUACCAAUUGCGAAGGCAGGUUACUACUAAUGGAUUGACGCUGAUGGACGAAAGCGUGGGUAGCGAACAGGAUUAGAUACCCUGGUAGUCCACGCCGUANACGAUGGAUACUAGCUGUUGGGAGCAAUCUCAGUGGCUAAGCGAAAGUGAUAAGUAUCCCACCUGGGGAGUACGUUCGCAAGAAUGAAACUCAAAGGAAUUGACGGGGGCCCGCACAAGCGGUGGAGCAUGUGGUUUAAUUCGAUGAUACGCGAGGAACCUUA